rnacentral:rRNA from 1 species
GGGUUGUGAGGUUAAGCGACUAAGCGUACACGGUGGAUGCCCUGGCAGUCAGAGGCGAUGAAGGACGUGCUAAUCUGCGAAAAGCGUCGGUAAGGUGAUAUGAACCGUUAUAACCGGCGAUGUCCGAAUGGGGAAACCCAGUGCAAUUCGUUGCACUAUCGUUAACUGAAUACAUAGGUUAACGAGGCGAACCGGGGGAACUGAAACAUCUAAGUACCCCGAGGAAAAGAAAUCAACCGAGAUUCCCCCAGUAGCGGCGAGCGAACGGGGAGCAGCCCAGAGUCUGAAUCAGCUUGUGUGUUAGUGGAACGGUCUGGAAAGUCCGACGGUACAGGGUGAUAGUCCCGUACACCAAAAUGCACAGGUUGUGAACUCGAAGAGUAGGGCGGGACACGUGGUAUCCUGUCUGAAUAUGGGGGGACCAUCCUCCAAGGCUAAAUACUCCUGACUGACCGAUAGUGAACCAGUACCGUGAGGGAAAGGCGAAAAGAACCCCGGCGAGGGGAGUGAAAAAGAACCUGAAACCGUGUACGUACAAGCAGUGGGAGCACCUUCGGGUGUGACUGCGUACCUUUUGUAUAAUGGGUCAGCGACUUAUAUUCUGUAGCAAGGUUAACCGUAUAGGGGAGCCGCAGGGAAACCGAGUCUUAACUGGGCGUUAAGUUGCAGGGUAUAGACCCGAAACCCGGUGAUCUAGCCAUGGGCAGGUUGAAGGUUGGGUAACACUAACUGGAGGACCGAACCGACUAAUGUUGAAAAAUUAGCGGAUGACUUGUGGCUGGGGGUGAAAGGCCAAUCAAACCGGGAGAUAGCUGGUUCUCCCCGAAAGCUAUUUAGGUAGCGCCUCGUGAAUUCAUCUUCGGGGGUAGAGCACUGUUUCGGCUAGGGGGUCAUCCCGACUUACCAACCCGAUGCAAACUACGAAUACCGAAGAAUGUUAUCACGGGAGACACACGGCGGGUGCUAACGUCCGUCGUGAAGAGGGAAACAACCCAGACCGCCAGCUAAGGUCCCAAAGUCAUGGUUAAGUGGGAAACGAUGUGGGAAGGCACAGACAGCCAGGAUGUUGGCUUAGAAGCAGCCAUCAUUUAAAGAAAGCGUAAUAGCUCACUGGUCGAGUCGGCCUGCGCGGAAGAUGUAACGGGGCUAAACCAUGCACCGAAGCUGCGGCAGCGACACUAUGUGUUGUUGGGUAGGGGAGCGUUCUGUAAGCCUGCGAAGGUGACCUGUGAGGGUUGCUGGAGGUAUCAGAAGUGCGAAUGCUGACAUAAGUAACGAUAAAGCGGGUGAAAAGCCCGCUCGCCGGAAGACCAAGGGUUCCUGUCCAACGUUAAUCGGGGCAGGGUGAGUCGACCCCUAAGGCGAGGCCGAAAGGCGUAGUCGAUGGGAAACAGGUUAAUAUUCCUGUACUUGGUGUUACUGCGAAGGGGGGACGGAGAAGGCUAUGUUAGCCGGGCGACGGUUGUCCCGGUUUAAGCAUGUAGGCUGGUUGUCCAGGCAAAUCCGGAUAAUCAAGGCUGAGGUGUGAUGACGAGGUACUACGGUGCUGAAGUAACAAAUGCCCUGCUUCCAGGAAAAGCCUCUAAGCAUCAGGUAACAUCAAAUCGUACCCCAAACCGACACAGGUGGUCAGGUAGAGAAUACCAAGGCGCUUGAGAGAACUCGGGUGAAGGAACUAGGCAAAAUGGUGCCGUAACUUCGGGAGAAGGCACGCUGGUGUGUAGGUGAAGCCCCUGCGGGUGGAGCUGAGACCAGUCGAAGAUACCAGCUGGCUGCAACUGUUUAUUAAAAACACAGCACUGUGCAAACACGAAAGUGGACGUAUACGGUGUGACGCCUGCCCGGUGCCGGAAGGUUAAUUGAUGGGGUUAUCCGUAAGGAGAAGCUCUUGAUCGAAGCCCCGGUAAACGGCGGCCGUAACUAUAACGGUCCUAAGGUAGCGAAAUUCCUUGUCGGGUAAGUUCCGACCUGCACGAAUGGCGUAAUGAUGGCCAGGCUGUCUCCACCCGAGACUCAGUGAAAUUGAACUCGCUGUGAAGAUGCAGUGUACCCGCGGCAAGACGGAAAGACCCCGUGAACCUUUACUAUAGCUUGACACUGAACAUUGAGCCUUGAUGUGUAGGAUAGGUGGGAGGCUUUGAAGCGUGGACGCCAGUCUGCGUGGAGCCAACCUUGAAAUACCACCCUUUAAUGUUUGAUGUUCUAACGUUGGCCCCUUACCGGGGUUGCGGACAGUGUCUGGUGGGUAGUUUGACUGGGGCGGUCUCCUCCCAAAGCGUAACGGAGGAGCACGAAGGUUAGCUAAUCCUGGUCGGACAUCAGGAGGUUAGUGCAAUGGCAUAAGCUAGCUUGACUGCGAGCGUGACGGCGCGAGCAGGUGCGAAAGCAGGUCAUAGUGAUCCGGUGGUUCUGAAUGGAAGGGCCAUCGCUCAACGGAUAAAAGGUACUCCGGGGAUAACAGGCUGAUACCGCCCAAGAGUUCAUAUCGACGGCGGUGUUUGGCACCUCGAUGUCGGCUCAUCACAUCCUGGGGCUGAAGUAGGUCCCAAGGGUAUGGCUGUUCGCCAUUUAAAGUGGUACGCGAGCUGGGUUUAGAACGUCGUGAGACAGUUCGGUCCCUAUCUGCCGUGGGCGCUGGAGAAUUGAGGGGGGCUGCUCCUAGUACGAGAGGACCGGAGUGGACGCAUCACUGGUGUUCGGGUUGUCAUGCCAAUGGCACUGCCCGGUAGCUAAAUGCGGAAGAGAUAAGUGCUGAAAGCAUCUAAGCACGAAACUUGCCCCGAGAUGAGUUCUCCCUGAGACUUUAAGUCUCCUGAAGGAACGUUGAAGACGACGACGUUGAUAGGCCGGGUGUGUAAGCGCAGCGAUGCGUUGAGCUAACCGGUACUAAUGAACCGUGAGGCUUAACCUUACAACGCCGAAG